CCAGUGGUUGCUGAAUUAGAGUUUGACAGCGUAAACAAAGAACCACCGCCCGACACGAUCGAAGAGG
rnacentral:sRNA from 12 species